GGUACAUGUGCACAAUGUGCAGUUUUGUUACAUAUGUAUACAUGUGCCAUGUUGGUGUGCUGCACCCAUUAACUCGUCAUUUACAUUAGGUGUAUCUCCUAAUGCUAUCCCUCCCUCCUCCCCUCACCCCACCACAGGCCCCGGUGUGUGAUGUUCCCCUUCCUGUGUCCAGGUGUUCUCAUUGUGGAGCCGCUCUUUCUAUGUCCUGCCCAGGCAGAGGCCUUCCCAAAAGCUCUAGAGCAGUAGUUCUCAAAAUGUGACCCUGGACUCGCAGCAUCAGUGUCACCUGGGAGCUUGUUAGGUAUGCAAAUUCUCCAACCCCACCCCAGCAUUACUGAAUCAGCAAUUCUGGGACGGGGUCCAGCAAUCUGUGUUUUAACAACACUCCAGGUAAUUCUGGUGCACACUGAAGUUUGAGAACCAUUGAUCCAGAUGUAUGAAAACUCAUUUUCCAAGUUAACACUGAGUUCCAAAAGGUUUAUAUCAAAGUACUCCUUUUGUUGAAUCUUCCUCUGUAUGUCAAAUUACCUGUUUACAAUCCUCCGGGGGUCCCCUCUUGCCUUCAUGACAAAAAACAAAUUGCUUAGCUUGGUCUACAGAGAACUUACAAGCCAGCCCCUACCCAGCCCCGCCUCCCUACCGCAUACACCAUGCUCCACACCCACAGUGCACAUUGCCCACUUUGUGUUAUGCAUAUGCUGGGUCCUUUCCCUGGAAUAUAAUACUUUUUCCCUCCUUUGCCUGGUAGACCUCUCUCCUUGAAGACAAAGUGUUGAUAUCAACUCCACCUUCAAGUCUCUCAAGCAGAACUAGAUGCUGUUUCUUCAAUGUUUCCACAUCUUCUUGUUCACAUGUGUCUAAGAUGCUUCAAGGGAAAUCUGUCUCCCCAGACACUUGCGUACUACAUUGUAAGCCAUUUUUACUAUGAAGAAGAUUGUAAGCUCAAUUACGGGCUUUACUGCGCUGAUAACGAACACAGAUAUGAGACAAGCAGACUUGAGCUCCUGCCUCGAGGAUGGUGAGCAAAGAGCCUAAGCAAAACUGAGAGGAAAUGAAACACAAAGAGGAAACAGAAAGCAACAAUAGGAAAUGGAUCCAUCCGGCUCACCCCUUCCUCCUGUACUUCAAUCUUGCCACUAGCUGAACCCAACAGGAAGCUAAGUGGCAGAGAAGUGAGGGAAAUACAGCCUGCAAAGAAGGACAAGGGAAGGACCUGGGGGCAAACAUGCCCCCAUGUAUAUAAUGAAAACAAGGCUUAUUCUCUUCUGAUUCAUUCAAAUUCCGUUGCUUAAUCAUGGGAAUCAUGGAAUGGCAUUUGGUCAAGGAGUAAUUUUCAUGAGAUGGUUUGGUAAUUUUCUGGACUUCAUUUUAUUUUUCAUUAUUUUAUGAGCAUGUAAAUCAAAACAGAUGAUAUCACCUCAUCUUUCUCAAUGGCAUCAGUAACAGAACAAAAUCAAAUGAAAGUGCUCCAUAAAAAUGAGCACUGCCCAAGUUAUAGUGUGUGCGGGCUGCUGCCCACUACUCCCUUCUCUGAGUCAUUCCCCGAUGUGACUUGGCAGCCCAGCUCCAUCAGCUCUGUGGUUGAAAAAAAAUGGGUCAUUGCACUGCGACAAAAGGACAUUCAUUGAAAAUACAGCAAUUAAGAAAAAUUUGAGCUCCAAUAGUCUCAAAUGACCAAAGGAAGCUUGUACUUGCAGCGUGUGGGUGCCAGCAGCAGGCAGACCAACAAAGCAGCAGGAGUUCCACCAGCAGCCACCAGGGACACGUCUAAGAAUUCUAUCAAACAGAAGGAAGUGGCUGAACUCCACUGAUGCAGGGGACAGGAGGCCUUGGAAAAGGCUGUUUUCAGCAUUACUAGCAUUUAAUUGAAACAUUCUGGAACCUGUAGUCCCAGGACCUAAAAAUAGGGCAUCACAACAAAAGACUCAACAAUAACGUUUUUCCUUAUGAAAUUUUAUUUUUGCUUAAAUAUAGGGGAAUAUAUAGGACACUGUAAAGGCAAAGUCUCACUGGUUUCUCUCUCUCUCACACACACACACAGAAUUGGAAGAGUUCAUAAAUAAAACAAAUUAGCAAAAAUGUUGAUGGUUGUUGAAGCUGGAUGAUGGGUACAUGAGUGUUCAUUGUAUUAAUCUCUCCUACCUUUUGUUUUAAAAUUUUUAUUAAAAAGGGAAAAUGUAAAUGUUGAUUUCAUUGGAUACAUGUUUUCCCUAGUUAGUCUUCCUUUACACUGUUCAUUUCAUUGUCACUAGGCUUCACCAUGUCUCUGUGUCGUGGGACCCAGCAGCAUGCAGAUAUUGCCAAGUGUGCUCUGAUUCUGUCUGUACUUAUGUGGAAAGCAGAAGCCUGCUCUGGCAGAGGAAGGGCGGUGUCCAGGCAAUAGGCAUAGGAAAUGAGUAGGCAGCAGGCUGAAGAGGGUGAAAAAAAACAGGGCAAGAGCAACCCCUCCACUGAAAUGCACUGGGAAGGGGGACUUAGAUACUAACACAAGUUCAAUUCAAGAAGCAUUUAUUGAACCGUCCUCAUGAGCCAGGUCAGGGUGUUCAGCACUGAGCGUGUCAAGACGAAGACACAUAGCCUCUAAGUGUCCACCAUCUACAAUAGCUAAUGUUUAAUUGUCCUUAAAAGUUGAAGAAUGUUGACUGGAUUGUCUGCAAAUCAGUCAUGUGAGUAGUGUUAAUCUAAUGAAGAAGAAUCUUAAAAGACAAAUUCUCCAAAUGCUGCUGCUCCUGCAUCCUGCUGCUCUACCUGCUGUGGGGAGGAGUGACCACUCCCUGAUAUGCUGCAGAUGCAAUUGAGUAGCAGCUUCAUUCCACAUUUCUCCAACAUCUUUCAUGGUGAGGUCAAGAGCAUAUUCAAAACCAUGUGUGGCUCAGUCCAACUGGAGAGACCAAGUCAAAGAGCCUCAUUUCCAUAAGGUAGAAUCUUGUCCAUACCUCUUCACUCACAACACAGACCAAUCUUGCAGAAGCCAGGAGGUUCUGAGUAAGGUCUGCAUAAAGAAAUAAUACCAUAGUUUCCAAUUGGCCAGUUUCGUUCUCUAACCAAACAGCUGCUGCCUGCUUACUGAGUGUGCAUGCCCACGCACACUCACACUGACUGUAACUCACCAUCAGCUGUAACCAGGCAGUUCUCUCAAGCCAUCUGCAGCUGGGCAAAAACCUAGAAUGAUUAAGUCAUUGAUAGAACACCACUUUCCUAAAAAUGGCAAUACUUAAAUACAUCUAAUCCUGAUCAAUACCUUGAUAUUCUAUAUCAUACAUUUAAAAAUCAAGUUGCCUAAUUAUUUUAAAUAUAUUCCAAAUGAACAAAAACACAUUAUAACUCCAAAUCACCAUGUUACCACCACCAUGGCGUGGAACCUUCCUGUCCACUCCAGAAGGCAGUUUUGUGCCCUCCUGGGCACCUGUGUCGCAGCCUAGAGACACUUAGACAUCCACCGGGAUAGUCCCAGGGCUCAGCUGUGUUGUUUCCAUGUCUCAGUGAUCACUUUUCUUUGUUGCCUGAUGUCUCAACAUUUUGAAAACUGCUGUUUCACAUAUUUUGUCUGGUUUUCUAGUUGCUUCAGACAGGAGUUAACUACAGUCCUUAUUACUUUGUCUUUCCUGAAAGCAGAAGUCUUUUAACUAAAGAAGGGUAGAUAUUAAAUGUAUCAUCUUUAGAAUUUGAUGAGAAAGUAAAAUUGCUUCCUCACUGUCCUCACCGGAUUCACAGGGGGAAAUGAUUCAGAGGCUUUUGCCUUUACCUCCUAGAGCAUGUUCUUGCAACUGUUGGGCUAGUCUUAUCUGGCCAAACUCUGUUACUAACAGAAUGUCUAGUUAUUUUGCAGGCACAGAGUUAAGAAGUGGCAAGUUAACACAGCCAGAGCAUGCACAGAAGAAAACUUCGACCUCAAAUAACACCUAGAACCAAAGUCCCUACCGCAGAACUAAAAGAUUGGGAUGUGGCUGGAACUCAAGCACCUAAACACUUUCAAAAGUGAGCAGUUCGUUUUCUAGGAAUGUUCACUGAUAAGACCCUUCCCCUUGCCUUACCAUAAAUAGUUACUUAAAGAUCCUCC
rnacentral:lncRNA from 10 species